AUUGUGCACAAUUUAAUUUAUGCCUGCAAAUCCAACACUUAUAAUGUGUGGAAUUCCCACACACAUUUUACAGCGAUGUAUGUUCAACCAACGUGGCCGGAACCACUGUGUCCGAGUGUCUUGACUUCGACCCUGAACACACCUGUAGAUCUGAACCUCCCGCUAGCAGAACACACAGUGCUUUUACAUGGGAUAGCUUGGAUUAAACCUUAUACCGAUUUUGCUACUCGAACGGACCAUGUCAAUUGCCCGAACGUACAUGGCCUUUAGAGAUCGGAUAAUGGCCGGAGCAUGGCUGAAUCCGCUACCCUAAGUGGCGCUGUAGCCCUUUCAUACAGUGGUUAUAGAACUUCUGGUUGACCUCUACUGUAAAAUAUGCAUGUUAAGUUGCACACUUCACGUUAGAAUGCAGUUGCAGGCUUACAUUCCCCAUGGGUAACUUUCUGUUUCCAUCUAUACGUGCUGUGAUGUAUGUAUGCUACAUAUGUUAUGUAUUCUCUGCAAUCAAUUCUUUUUGUGUUUAAUAGCAUCAUGUCGACGGCAGAAGGGACAUUAUCAUCCGUUGCUUAGUUGAGUAUCUUGGAGAGAGUGGAGAGGAGCUGAUCAAAGACUAUCAGGACGUCAGCCAAGAAGCAGUGAAAGAGGACUGCAGUAAUCACAUGAUGCAGAUCAACGUCAUCCAUCCCAAUGUGGCACAGGAAAACCAAGAUCCUGUGUAUGUGUCAGUCAUCAUCAAGUGUGACAAACGCUUGCCUCCUGCUCAUGGGUGUCAUCUAUGCUGUAAAUUUAAGUUACCCACUUAAACUGAAAUAUACGUUUGAAGUAUUUCAGAAGCUGUUUCUUGAGCUUGACGUCAUUACAAUGUCACCAAAGGUCCAGUUUCUCCACAAUAAACUUUUAGCGUGAGUGUUCCAGUGCUAUUUGUGCUUUUGUCCAGCACAAACAAUCUCUUUACUUUUGUCAUUUUUCUGACUGAAAUUUCAAGUUUUGCUUAGUUUUUAAGUUAUUUCUGUCCUGAACAUCCUGAGAAUGUCUGCAAAGGUAGCCAUUGCAGUUUAUGUAUGCAUUCUUUGCUGUUCUGAAAAGUCAACUGUAACACUGUAUUCGUUUGUAUGCUGGAAUAUCAGUCCUAAAGUCAGUUGGUGCUUUGUCAUUCCGCAUUGAAUUUUUCAAAUCCUAAACGGCUUUACUUUUGAGCUUUUGUGUGUGUGUGUGCACUGUUUUCAAAUUUGCUAGCAGGAAGUUCUGUGUGGUUAUGUUAUGUAUUUUAAAUACAUCUAUGCCAUUUCAAAUGUGAAAUAAAAGUGUAUUUCAAACAUC